rnacentral:lncRNA from 1 species
AUUUACUUAAAAUAAAAUUAGUCUGUUGUAACUCCUUUAUGCUUCACUUUGAAUAGAUGAGCCAACGUUUUACUUGAGUGAAUACAUAAAGGCCAUGAUAGUUUAACUUUUACAACUCUCAUUAUUCUACCUCCAAGCUUAUUUAUCCCUUGUUUGCUCCUUCCUUACUUCAGGGGUCAAUAAUUUUUAAUGAGAUAACUGAAAGGAACAGUUUUGGGGGUUUGGAGAAAGGUAAAAUCAUAAUCACCAGGAAUUCAUUGCAGAACUCCACGUAAUUACUGUGAAGAGACUGAAGUUUUCAGGCCCCACUUGAAUUACCAGGGUCCCUUUAGAGUGAAAAAUGUAUGAAUCUCUUCCCUGGAGUUGUAGAGGACUUGGAUAUACAUUCUAGAAUAUGAAGAUUGAUUGAAAUUCUUAGAAGCAGAAAGUGGAAGAGAGAGACAAAGUGAG